AAACUGAGCGUGAAAUUUACGCCUCUUUCGUGUCUGCAUUAGUAGCUUUCAAUUGCAUACAAAUUUAAUGACCAUUUUGUUAUCCAAUCACUAAUAAGGUUAUGUUGUUAACACAUAGAUCUAUUUUUACCAGUUGAAGAAUCUUAACACCCAACUUAUUUGAAAACUUAAAAUAGAUAGCAUACAAUUUUUUCUAUUU
rnacentral:lncRNA from 1 species